rnacentral:rRNA from 1 species
UACAGAGGUGGCAAGCGUUGUUCGGAAUUACUGGGCGUAAAGGGCGCGUAGGCGGCCUUCUAAGUCAGACGUGAAAUCCCCAGGCUUAACUUGGGAACUGCGUCUGAUACUGGGAGGCUUGAGUGCGGGAGAGGGAUGUGGAAUUCCAGGUGUAGCGGUGAAAUGCGUAGAUAUCUGGAGGAAUACCGGUGGCGAAGGCGGCAUCCUGGACCAUUUACUGACGCUGAGGCGCGAAAGCUAGGGGAGCAAACGGG